UUUUUCAGAUUCUGCUUCUCUUUGGGACUCAGCAUCAAUGCUUGGCUCACCGGACCCAUUAAAAUGCUGAAGAAGGAAUAUGAAAAAGGUAUACCACACAACAUGAAGAGACCUGGGGAUCAGGAUCAGUGGACUGUGGGAGAAGGAGGCCUGAAGGUGAUAACGUCCUGUCUGAAGGAGCUAAUGCACACCCGGGGAGCAGCCCAGCUCCGUUCAAUGAAAUAAAACGUCCAGAGCUGUUCUCUUCAUGUUUUAUAUGGCAACACACUUUUAUGUGUGAUUAAGAAACAAAAUAACAAAGGGAGGAAUG
rnacentral:lncRNA from 1 species